CGGCUGUCAGGCUUUCGUAGGUGACCUGCGGAGGAUCAUUA
rnacentral:rRNA from 1 species